UCUGGGCAUUGUUGCUAGGCAGAUUAAGCACUCCACUCCCAAAGCUUCUGGAAUUGGGUGUAGCAGUUCUGGAUCUGCUCCAGUAGGUUCCCUGUUGCUGGGGUCAGACGCCCUGAGGGCAAGCAGUCAGGGCAGCUGCUUUGCAGGGGCCAUGUGCCCUGGGUGAGUUGGGAGAAGCUGAGCCCAGCAGCAGAAAGCAGGUUGUUGUCCCUAAAUCUGAAGCAUUUUGCAGCAGGGUUUUCUUUAAAUCUAGACACGUAACUGAGUGGUUGGUUAAUCAGUUUGCUGACUGACUAGCAGUGAUUUCAGCAGAGGAAGAGUCUGCCUGGAUUCCAACUGAAGAUCCCUACAAGCAAGUGGAGGGAAGAUGUUUUAGACUCUGCAAACUGUCUAGAUUUGGUGAUCAAAGACUCUAACUGAGACCUAGAUAUGCUGUGUGGUGCAUCAUAGGAGUCAGAUGAUUAUGACUGUAUAAUGGGAGAUAGAGUCCAUCAAGGGAGCCUGGCUAAUCCGAUAAAAUGGAAGCAUGAGGCUCCGAACUACAUCUCUCAUAAGGCAAGUCACAUGGGA